GGGGGGAGCAAGCGUUGUUCGGAUUUACUGGGCGUAAAGGGCGCGUAGGCGGCCACCGCAAGUCGACUGUGAAAUCUCCGGGCUUAACCCGGAAAGGUCAGCCGAUACUGCGGGGCUAGAGUGCAGAAGGGGCAACUGGAAUUCUCGGUGUAGCGGUGAAAUGCGUAGAUAUCGAGAGGAACACCUGCGGCGAAGGCGGGUUGCUGGGCUGACACUGACGCUGAAGUGCGAAAGCUAGGGGAGCGAACGGGAUUAGAUACCCCGGUAGUCCUAGCCUUAAACGAUGAAUGCUUGGUGUCUGGGGUUUUAUAGUCCCCGGGUGCCGUCGCUAACACUUUAAGCAUUCCGCCUGGGGAGUACGGUCGCUAGACUG
rnacentral:rRNA from 1 species